rnacentral:miRNA from 1 species
AGCCUCAUUGGCCGGAAGGGAUUCCUUCCGGUUGAUGAGGUAUAACAACAAAUCUCAUUGAUUGGAAGUCGAUGUGGGUAACAACCUCAUUGAUCAGAAGGAAUUCCUUCCAAUCAAUGAGGAU